AACAUUUAUCUUUAUUAUAUUUAUUGCAAAUAACAGUUAAAUUAUAUUUCAACAAUUUGAUUGGUAUUCCCAAUACACCCGAGCAGAACGAAACUAUACAUCACGUCAUAGAUUAGAGAUUAAAUAAAUCUUUAAUCUAUCUUCAUAGAUAUUCCAUAAUCAUAUAUUGAUUAUGAUACGCCAAUUACCUAUGACCAUUUACGUUGAGGCUUGUGAUUAUUUUACCUUGUAUAUCUUUUUCGGUUCCCAGUAUAGUUUUUAUGAAAGAUAAUAUGUGUAAAGUUUUUAUUAAAUUAUCUUUGAAAUUACAACUUCUUUAAUUAGAAUUUUCUUCCAUUUUCGAUAUGAAGACGUAUAAAUCCUAGUAGAAAGUAUAAGCAUAUUUUGACUUAAGUAUGAAAAACAGAAAGUUAGGUAAAUUAGGGAAACGGAAAUAGUAAUUCUAUUAAACUUUUUGUAAUCUGAAUAAACGGGAUAUUCAUUCUGCUCAAUGGUUUGUUAUAUAUAUAUCAAUAGUUGUAAAUCUAUUAUUUUCUUCUCGGUUGUCUGUUAUCUGUGAUUUCUUUCACUGGAACCAUGGGUUAUCGACUCUCAUGUCAAAACUAGUGCUGGCUAAACCUGGCAGAUGGCGAUGUUUGCAGCGUUAAAUAUUUUGUAAAAUGGGUUGCAUAAGAAAAACAGCAUUACGAUCAUUAAAAAUAUCAAUUUUAAUUAACCGUUGUGUAUAUUUAUAUUAUCUUAUGGAUGGUAGAUUUUUUGCGAGACUUGUUUACCUUCUGAUAUUGUGAAUUUCACACAAAGUUUGGACAUCAUGUGUAGUUGGCCUAUGAUUGUAGCAGUCCGCAUUUCAUCUCAGUGAGAAGCACUAUCCUUUUAUUCACUGAAAGCAGAAACAACAAAGGAUUGUUUAUUCAAGAAGAAACUGUUGGAUAUUUUGUUUUCACAAUGAAGACACGUAAUGGUGUUUAAGUUUAGUUUAAUUAUGUACAGUAUAAAACAUAGAAGUACAGAGAAAAGAAAAUAUAUGUCGUAGACAAAGGAAACAUUAUGACUGACUAGAUAAAACAAAAUUAAGCAUACAAAAACUAUCCCCCGGAUCUACUCCUUCGCCAACAGAAUUUAAAUUUAUCCUAACUGAAACAUUCAAAUAGUCCAAUAAU